rnacentral:rRNA from 1 species
UACGGAGGGUGCAAGCGUUUGUCCGGAUUUAUUGGGUUUAAAGGGUGCGUAGGUGGCCCCUUAAGUCCGUGGUGAAAGCCUGCCACUUAACGGCAAGAACUGCCAUGGAUACUGAGGGCUUGAGUCCAGACGAGGUUGGCGGAAUGGAUGGUGUAGCGGUGAAAUGCAUAGAUACCAUCCAGAACCCCGAUUGCGUAGGCCAGCUGACUAGGCUGGUACUGACACUGAGGCACGAAAGCGUGGGGAGCGAACAGGAUUGAGAUACCCUGUA